UCUUUACGAUCCAACUUGGAGAUAAAAACCCUCAUCCGUUUGACAUGUAAAUGUCAAAGCUGCCUUCUUUUUUAUAGUUUGGCCCAAAGCAGAAGGAGGUUAGCUUUAAAAAAAAUAUCUCAACACACAUACACACACAGAAGAGGCAGGAGAUAGCGGCUGUGUCCAGAUGAGGCUCGGUGCAGGACCUCGUCAACCCCCCCUCUAUCAGCAGAGAAAUAGAGCUGUGUAUGAGCAGGGAAGCUGAAGCAGCAUCAGUCGUCACACGGUUCCUUCUCAAGAGUCUUUUGGAUACAUUUCUUGAGGGAUCCAAAAAGGAAUCCUCUCCCCCUUCCUUCUCUACAUGUGUCAGGACGCUGCGUUUCCUCUCCGCUUUGUGGGAACGGGAAGCAGCAGCAUUGUGUUGGAGCUGACUGUGGUUUAAUCAUUAAUGAGCACUAACAGUCGGGGCAGGACAGGCAUGGCCUACAGCCGGGGACACACACAGGACGGUGUGUUGCAGUUUGGGAGAAGCGAGGCGGCAAACGGCACCAAACGGCACAGAGAGAGGAAGACUCGGGCUCGGGUACGGAGACUGGAGGUGUUUGCUAAAUGAGAAAGUCUGCCCUGUUGGAAGCAGCGGUUAAUGUCAGGAAGAGAGUGUGAAGGAGAGAAACAUAAAUGGAUAAUGCACCUUAAAGUGAGACAGUCACAGCCUGCUCUCACGCGCCCUGAAUGUCAAUGCGCUGUGUUAUCUUCCCUAUUUGCUGUUUCCUCCUGUAGAUGACACACUGAGGUUUAACCAGACUUAAGCAUGUUUCAUGUACAGUUGGCCUUUUCUUGCCCUUUUGUUUACGUCACACAGCUAAAGCUAAAGUCUGCAAUUAUUCAGAAGGGCGCACCGUUUUGAACGAGUUUGUGAGGCCAAAUUGUCCAAAUAAAUUGAAUAUUUUUUCAGCGAAAUAUGAAAAUAAAAAUUUAAAAAAGGCAACUGUUUUAAUUUUCUACUACUAUCAUACAAUAACGCUACUACUAAUACGAACACCGUCAUAACAAUGAUACUCGUACAUGGGAACAGUACGCAGUCGGUGAAAAUAUUCGGGGAUGUGUUUCCUAUCUAAAUAACUAGCCUAUUUAAAUUAUAAAAAUAACAACAUCUCUAAUAUCAAUGAUGAUAACAAUAAUAAUAAUAACAUACAUAGUGUGUAAUAAUUUAAGCCGGCUGUGUGCAGUAAAUCAGACGCGCGUGUGUGUGUGUGUGUGUGUGUGUGUGUGUGACCGAGCUGCGGUGUAAACAGUUGAGGGCUGCUGAAGGAACUCCAGGAAUCUGAGAAACUUCAGAGAUUAUCGACAAUUAAAGCUGAAGGAGUCAGACUGCUGCUUUAUUGCUUUAUGGCUCUCUGUGUGUGUGUGUGUGUGUGUGUGUGUGUGUGUGUGUGUGUGGUACAGAGAGAGAGAAAGAAAGAGAGAGAGAGUGUUCAGGACUUUUAUGGUUUUAUGGCCGUUUAUGACUCCUUGUAAAGUCCGAGGAAUGGCGACGAACUGAAAAACAGGCCCGCAGCAAACAGCAGAUGAACAAAUGUGCUGUGCUGCACACAAGGAACGCGCGUGCACACACGAACACGAGCACUGUGCAGUUCAUCUGCGGUUCAUUUCAGCCUCGGCAAUGCUCAAACUGCCGGCAUUGCACUCAGUGUUAUUAAAAAGCAUUGUGAAAUAAUUAACUGUCUAUGAAAUUAAACAUUCGCACUUUAUUUUAUUGACUUACACUUUUUUGCUUUUGCUGUUUUUGCCCAGAAUUUGAUUUCAACCCCUGCACAGAGAUAACUACACUGGGGAAUGUUCCGAAAUAUUCCUAGUGUUGAAACUGCAGCCACCAUUUGGAAAAUAACGCAUCUUGAUUUCUAAAUUCAAAAACGUGUAUUUUCGACAUGUAUUUCAGUCCUAAAUGUUUUAUUUUUUUCAUGUUUUUAUUUUCUCCUUUUUUUCUUUCUUUUUAUUUGAGGAAUUUGAAAAAAACACGGCAUCUAAAAGAAAAAGAAACUCACAAUAAUCAGAAAUAUUUUUAUAUCAAGGUGAUGGAAGAUAAAUAUUUGAUUUGGAAAAAAAGGCACAUCCUCUCAGGUGUUUCCGUUCCAACGUUGAAUAACUUUAAAUGUUUUAAAAAUAGUCUGUGACAUGUUUAAGAUACCACUUAUCACCUGUCUGUUUAAUCCUGUAAGGAGAAGAAAAAAUUGGACUUUAAUAUCUCUGUAUAUUAAUAUCUGUUUCACGUAACUACAACAGUGUAGAGGUGCACGUAAUGUCCGUACCUUUAGAGUAUAAGCCUCAGUAUCCUGGUUAAGAAACAGUGUGUACGUGCGUGUUUUUGUGCGCGCGCGUUGACCGACCUCUCCUGCGCGAGUUAAUGACAAACUGAAAGAAACUGCCUCACUAGUGUUUUUUUUGUUUUAAUGUAUUAAUCGUUUCCAGGCUGCACGAGCUGGCUGGCUGCGUCCUUCACGGCACCGUGAGCUCGUGCUUUGGGUCAGUUCACCGAACUGUUACCGGUGGGCGCGAGCUCUCGGCCACAUAAUGGCCCCGGGACGAGUUAAAGAUUAACGGACGGAUGAAUGCAGCAUCACGGGGAGCUGGGGCAGCUUGUUUUUCUCCAACUCUCUGCUAAAUGAAAAAAAAAAAAAACGGAGCGGACACGCGCACUGGUGCACGCGUAACUAAUUUAUUUUAUUAUAGCCGGUAAUCAGGGACAUAAUACGAUAUAAGAAGUUCUAAAACAUAAACCACAUUAAAUUGUACUUGCAAUUCACAUUUUCAAUACGUAUUACAAUGACUCGAUUUUCAUCAUUUGUUUUAUUAAGUCGUGGCGAUUAUUAUUAUUGUUACUAUUAUUAUUAUUAUUAUUAUUGUUAUUGUUGUUGUUGUUGUUGUUGUUGUCGUCGUUGGUGUUGUCAUUUUUGAGGGUUGUUUUUUUAUAAACUUUGUCAAUACCAAAAUGGCAUAAUUAUUACCUAUGAGCCUGCACAUUAUGUGUAACUACAUUAAUACUUUGUAUGAUUAUGGUGGUGCAUGUGAAGUUUAUAUACACUUAAAUAUUAUGUGGAAUUCACUUUUAAUAUUAUCGUAUGGUAAUCAGAAUCUACCUCAGUCUCUUUGUUCACACCAGAGAAAGACAAAAAGCCACAACCAACAAGACAAAAGAAUAAAUGUACGGCCCACACAUUUCCACACGGUCACGUGCACGCACAUACUCCCUGGCUCUCGUCAUGUCUGGUCUGGUUUCAUUCCAAAGAGGACAACAAAGUGAAGUCUCGGGCACAUCAUCAGUUUGUCAACAGCUUACACACUAUAACAGAAGCAACCCCACACUUACACACACACUCACACACGUGUUGCCAGCAGCACAUCACACCUUCGAACGACGACAGAGACACAUUUAGCCUCCAAGCCAGGAAGCAUAGUGUGCGUGUAUAAGAGUCUCUGACGAGUGGGUAUUACCCAGAGGAUGAAGCGCGUGUUUUUGUGUGUGUUUGAGAAUGUUUAGUACUGUCGCCAACAUGACGCUAGAUGGCACCAGAGCGUUUUGUAGGAGCGGGCUGAGGCUGCUGAGGCUGCUGGGAGGCUCAGUGCUGAGCAUAGCCGCCGAGCUGCAGCUCUGCCCCGGGCUGGGUCAGUGUGGCCACCGCUCCUCCAGCCUCUGGAGCUGCACUCUCACUUUGUUUUUCAUGUGUGAGCCUGGUUUCCAUCACAAUCCAAUGAUAAAAGUAGUCCCAGAUACUUUGUAGUUUGACGCAUCAAAUUUCAAUAUUUAUAUCAGAUACUGUUUUAUCGUAAUUUAAAUUUAUAUUUUUAGGCUCAGUAUUCUGUGCCAAAUAUGUCAUGUAUAUGAUAUAUAAAUAGUUUGCUUGUGGUGAAACAUGGUGUUGAUCCGUACUGAGGAUAUGAAUGUACAUGCGUGUAAAUGAAUAAUAUAUAUAUAUUUGUAUAAAUAUGUGUUUAUAUAAAUGAAAUGAUAAACCGGUCUCGAGCUCUGUGACUUAUGAUACUCAAACCGCUGCUCCCGCUAGCCUUAAUGACAUAGAAUUAACACUGAUUUAAAUCUAGCAAAUGAUGAGAAUAUUAUGAUUUACUAUGCAAUAUCUGUUAUUAUAUAACUAAUAUUUAUUUUAAAAAUAAUGAUGACCACUUCUACUGCAGCAAUAAACACUGACAGCUGCAAAAGUAAAUAACUGAACUGUAAAGACUGAGGACAAUGGUAUUUAAACUUUAGAUGGCAUACUGGGUCUAUAUGGUCGACCUUUUUAAACAACAUAUAUACUUAUAAAUUAAUAAUUAGAAAUUAAGCAUUUUUAUUUUAUGCAAAAAAUCUCUAUAUAUUAAUAGCAUGAAUCUGUGCCUGAGGUGAGCAGGCGUUAUGUUGUCUUUCUUAGCAUUUGUCUCUUCUCGCCCUCUCUCUUACACACAAUGUGCCUUUUAAAUAUUAGUUAAAUAUUUGUGUUUGUGCUGUAAUGAAGGAAGGAGCUGGUUUAUGACCAUAAAGUUAAUACCUGACACAGUGACUUGCCAGAUUUCUUAGAGCGUCUCCUAUAUUAAAGCAUCAUCCACCCGUAGUUGCUACGUGCAGUUAUUUCAUAAACACUGGACGUAAAAAGAAAAUGUCACUGAGUUUUACCAAACCGUACAAUAUUAACUUUGUUGUGUGGUGACAGGUUUGCAGUAUGAAUGUGCUCCUAAUCCUUAAUGAAUAUCAAAAAUACUCAGCCAAUAAUGCGCUUAUGUAUUGUGGGAAAUGUAGUCGGCUACUGAUGCUUCAGAUGCUACAUAUCUAUUGUUAUUACCCGGCACCGCGUCUUAGUAUCUAUUGCUGUAACAGUGUUUGUCUACUGAUUAUAUUUUUGAUAUCUGGUAACAAUAACUCUUUGUUGUUGAUUUUGUAUUGGUGCAGAGAUGACGAGAAGUGUGUAUUGCUUUUAAAUGUAUUCCGUUAACUAAACUUUCUU